rnacentral:ncRNA from 2 species
UUCUAUAGAGAUAAAAACACAGUUUCGGUUGGUAGUCCGAACCUAUCUAAUUUAACGUUAGCAGUAACCUGCCCUCCUGGGGUUGUCCCUUCUCUAUGUUUUAGAU